rnacentral:rRNA from 1 species
CGAAUAGGGGAGCCGAAGGGAAACCGAGUCUUAACUGGGCGUUAAGUUGCAGGGUAUAGACCCGAAACCCGGUGAUCUAGCCAUGGGCAGGUUGAAGGUUGGGUAACACUAACUGGAGGACCGAACCGACUAAUGUUGAAAAAUUAGCGGAUGACUUGUGGCUGGGGGUGAAAGGCCAAUCAAACCGGGAGAUAGCUGGUUCUCCCCGAAAGCUAUUUAGGUAGCGCCUCGUGAAUUCAUCUCCGGGGGUAGAGCACUGUUUCGGCAAGGGGGUCAUCCCGACUUACCAACCCGAUGCAAACUGCGAAUACCGGAGAAUGUUAUCACGGGAGACACACGGCGGGUGCUAACGUCCGUCGUGAAGAGGGAAACAACCCAGACCGCCAGCUAAGGUCCCAAAGUCAUGGUUAAGUGGGAAACGAUGUGGGAAGGCCCAGACAGCCAGGAUGUUGGCUUAGAAGCAGCCAUCAUUUAAAGAAAGCGUAAUAGCUCACUGGUCGAGUCGGCCUGCGCGGAAGAUGUAACGGGGCUAAACCAUGCACCGAAGCUGCGGCAGCGACACUGUGUGUUGUUGGGUAGGGGAGCGUUCUGUAAGCCUGUGAAGGUGUGCUGUGAGGCAUGCUGGAGGUAUCAGAAGUGCGAAUGCUGACAUAAGUAACGAUAAAGCGGGUGAAAAGCCCGCUCGCCGGAAGACCAAGGGUUCCUGUCCAACGUUAAUCGGGGCAGGGUGAGUCGACCCCUAAGGCGAGGCCGAAAGGCGUAGUCGAUGGGAAACAGGUUAAUAUUCCUGUACUUGGUGUUACUGCGAAGGGGGGACGGAGAAGGCUAUGUUGGCCGGGCGACGGUUGUCCCGGUUUAAGCGUGUAGGCUGGUUUUCCAGGCAAAUCCGGAAAAUCAAGGCUGAGGCGUGAUGACGAGGCACUACGGUGCUGAAGCAACAAAUGCCCUGCUUCCAGGAAAAGCCUCUAAGCAUCAGGUAACAUCAAAUCGUACCCCAAACCGACACAGGUGGUCAGGUAGAGAAUACCAAGGCGCUUGAGAGAACUCGGGUGAAGGAACUAGGCAAAAUGGUGCCGUAACUUCGGGAGAAGGCACGCUGAUAUGUAGGUGAAGCGACUUGCUCGUGGAGCUGAAAUCAGUCGAAGAUACCAGCUGGCUGCAACUGUUUAUUAAAAACACAGCACUGUGCAAACACGAAAGUGGACGUAUACGGUGUGACGCCUGCCCGGUGCCGGAAGGUUAAUUGAUGGGGUCAGCCGCAAGGCGAAGCUCUUGAUCGAAGCCCCGGUAAACGGCGGCCGUAACUAUAACGGUCCUAAGGUAGCGAAAUUCCUUGUCGGGUAAGUUCCGACCUGCACGAAUGGCGUAAUGAUGGCCAGGCUGUCUCCACCCGAGACUCAGUGAAAUUGAACUCGCUGUGAAGAUGCAGUGUACCCGCGGCAAGACGGAAAGACCCCGUGAACCUUUACUAUAGCUUGACACUGAACAUUGAGCCUUGAUGUGUAGGAUAGGUGGGAGGCUUUGAAGCGUGGACGCCAGUCUGCGUGGAGCCGACCUUGAAAUACCACCCUUUAAUGUUUGAUGUUCUAACGUAGACCCUAUCGGGUUGCGGACAGUGUCUGGUGGGUAGUUUGACUGGGGCGGUCUCCUCCUAAAGAGUAACGGAGGAGCACGAAGGUUGGCUAAUCCUGGUCGGACAUCAGGAGGUUAGUGCAAUGGCAUAAGCCAGCUUGACUGCGAGCGUGACGGCGCGAGCAGGUGCGAAAGCAGGUCAUAGUGAUCCGGUGGUUCUGAAUGGAAGGGCCAUCGCUCAACGGAUAAAAGGUACUCCGGGGAUAACAGGCUGAUACCGCCCAAGAGUUCAUAUCGACGGCGGUGUUUGGCACCUCGAUGUCGGCUCAUCACAUCCUGGGGCUGAAGUAGGUCCCAAGGGUAUGGCUGUUCGCCAUUUAAAGUGGUACGCGAGCUGGGUUUAGAACGUCGUGAGACAGUUCGGUCCCUAUCUGCCGUGGGCGCUGGAGAACUGAGGGGGGCUGCUCCUAGUACGAGAGGACCGGAGUGGACGCAUCACUGGUGUUCGGGUUGUCAUGCCAAUGGCACUGCCCGGUAGCUAAAUGCGGAAGAGAUAAGUGCUGAAAGCAUCUAAGCACGAAACUUGCCCCGAGAUGAGUUCUCCCUGACUCCUUGAGAGUCCUGAAGGAACGUUGAAGACGACGACGUUGAUAGGCCGGGUGUGUAAGCGCAGCGAUGCGUUGAGCUAACCGGUACUAAUGAACCGUGAGGCUUAACCU